rnacentral:rRNA from 1 species
CCUACGGGAGGCAGCAGUCGAGAAUCAUUCACAAUGGGGGAAACCCUGAUGGUGCGACGCCGCGUGGGGGAAUGAAGGUCUUCGGAUUGUAAACCCCUGUCAUGUGGGAGCAAAUUAAAAAGAUAGUACCACAAGAGGAAGAGACGGCUAACUCUGUGCCAGCAGCCGCGGUAAUACAGAGGUCUCAAGCGUUGUUCGGAAUCACUGGGCGUAAAGGGUGCGUAGGCUGUUUCGUAAGUCGUGUGUGAAAGGCGCGGGCUCAACCCGCGGACGGCACAUGAUACUGCGAGACUAGAGUAAUGGAGGGGGAACCGGAAGUCUCGGUGUAGCAGUGAAAUGCGUAGAUAUCGAGAGGAACACUCGUGGCGAAGGCGGGUUCCUGGACAUUAACUGACGCUGAGGCACGAAGGCCAGGGGAGCGAAAGGGAUUAGAUACCCUAGUAGUC